rnacentral:rRNA from 1 species
UACAGAGGGUGCGAGCGUUAAUCGGAAUUACUGGGCGUAAAGCGUGCGUAGACGGUUAUUUAAGUCGGGUGUGAAAGCCCCGGGCUCAACCUGGGAAUUGCAUUCGAUACUGGAUAGCUAGAGUUCGGCAGAGGGAAGCGGAAUUUCCGGUGUAGCGGUGAAAUGCGUAGAUAUCGGAAGGAACACCAGUGGCGAAAGCGGCUUCCUGGUCCAGCACCGACGUUCAGGCACGAAAGCGUGGGGAGCAAACAGG